UGGAAAGCCAAAGCAUACCGUAUCUGGGCC
rnacentral:piRNA from 1 species